rfam:Ceratocystis platani strain CFO contig_00433, whole genome shotgun sequence.
GCAACCUUAGUCUAGCGGUUAUGAUUUUCGCCUUCCAAGCGAAAGGUCCGGGUUCGACUCCCGGAGGUUGCA